rnacentral:lncRNA from 1 species
CCGCCGCUCGGGAUCAAACAGGGGAGGUGAGAGCAAAGCCGAGAGAAGAGGGUCGGGGCACUUCGCAGGAGGUCCCUGCAAGUCUUCAUAGUCGCGUCGGGGGGGAUUGUCAAAGGGCGAGCCGAGAAUUGGUCGCUGGAGUUCCAGCGCCGCCGCGAAGCUCUGCUUGUCGACGUCCGGCUCCUAUGCAACUCCACCGCCGGUGAGAACCAUAUACACUGCUAAACCAUGUCCCCAAUUUCGUGUUGCUCCGUUUAAUUUGAGUUUGGGGUCAUGGAGCGCCGGAUUGGGUUUCCUCCGGCCGGGUCGCCGCCGUGCUCGUGCCCCUGGGUGCUCGGGUGCUCGUGUGGGGGAGAAGAACAAGCCCUCGCCGUUGGAUCGUGAUGGACGGUCGCGAUUAGAGUUAGGCGUAUCCCUUCGCCGCAUGCUAUUGUGACCGUUGGAUCGUGUCCGGGUGCUCCAGAUUAGAAGUUUGGAGUGGUGCGCCUGGCGCCGUAGAUUUUAGAUCGAAUGGUGGAGGUUAGAUACCGGUUCGGAUGUGAUCCAAUCUAAUCUGGGCCGUCCGGAUCAGAUCGUGCGGCCCUAAUUUCUCCAUACCCCUUCGGCCCUGGAUUUCUUUCUAAAGAGACCCUAGAAAACUUAAGAAUCAACCCGCAGUCCUUGGGUGCUGUUCUUUGAGUCUAGGAAACAUUGCGCAGAGCCCCCUGCAGUCCUCUGGUUUUGUGCGCCCAGUCCAAGGAGUUAAGAAAUCAGAUAAAAGGAAUUAGAAAAUGAUUUUUAUGCAAAAAUAAAUGCUAGAAUUUGUUUAAUUCAUAGAAAAUGCAUACUAAGUCCAAAUUAAACCAUUUCAGUUUCUAUGAUUUUGUAAUAAUGUUGUUUAUCACCCUGUGUCUCUGUUUUAACAUGAAAAUGGUAUUAAAAUUUAUUUCCUAAUUAACCUCGUAUCAAAUACAUAAAACCUUAGGAAAUUCGUAUCUCCUCCGUUUUAACUCCGAUUUGAUCCGUUCAAGUUCCGUUAGUCUCGUAGCAACGCAUAGAUUAUUAUUAUUUAGUUGUUCUUAUGUUUGGUGUGAUGUUAAUUUUGCCUAUACCAUGUAUGUUUGUAUUACUACGACUAGCAGUGAGGUCACGAGAAUCUGAAGAUCAUCCUGGUACCUGGAAUCUCAAGUCUCAGGCAAGUUGUGCCCUUGAUCACUUCUUUUACCCACUCAUGUUCUAAUUAAUCAUAAUGAUCUGCAUAGGUUAAUUUUGAUGGGACCCAAUAGGUCACCCUAGUUUGUUUAUCCUGAAUACCUUGUUUACCCCUGAAUCACUUGGGUAGUUCUGCUACUGCUUUAUAUGGUUUUGGGUUAAUAUUUCAUUAUAUCUAUGUUCCAAUUAUGUUGUUAUUUCAUUUAUGUUCAUGACAAGAUCAUUAAAUGUUAAUUGGAACAUAGAGCUUAACUUGAGAAACACGUGCCACCACAAGGGUUUAUGGACGCCCUUGGCUGAUUAAUUAGGAAAGCUAGUGGAGGACUACCUUACCCGAAAGGGGCAAGGGCAGUAGGGGAGUGGUCAGUGUAGGGAGGCCCUCGGGAGGAUUUUGCUGCGAUGGCGGUCCUGCAAGGGAUUCCUGCAUUGGAGCUUCCUAUAAACUGUAGCGGGUUUUCUGAAGCUAGUGGAACUUUGUAAAGGCCUCGUAGUGUUACCCUGCCUCGCCUCCUCGGUAGAGGUGUAUGGGAAGUCGCGAUCCCUUGGCAGAUGGGUAACAUGACUUGUGGGUAAAGGGUACCACCUCUGCAGAGUGUAAAACUGGUAUACUAGCCGAGCUCGCGGUCAUGAGCAGCUCAGGACUCUCUGAUGAUUAAAUUAUGGAACUUAAAUUCAAUUUGUCAUAUGCAUUGCAUCGCAGGUGAUGUUGUUGUUACUUUUGUUCUACUACUUAAUUGGGUUGGUAUUUACUUAUACUUAGUAAUUGCUAAUAAAAUUUUGACCAACUUUAAAAGCAAUGCUCAGCUCUAACCAUCCUCUUUGGUAAGCCUUACACUUCACAUGAACUCCCACCUUUGGCGAGUUCAUUCACAUUAUUCCCCACAACUUGUUGAGCGAUGAACGUAUGUGAGCUCACCCUUGCUGUCUCACACCCCCCCACAGGUCAAGAACAGGUACCGCAGGAUGAGGCGCAUGGAGGAUGUUGCGAUGAGUUCGUGAGAGAGAUCUAGGCCGUCGUCUCCCAGUCAACUUUGGGUUGCUGGACCGUUGUCUCCUUUUGAUGUAAUUAUUUAUUUAUUUAUUUUGUAUAGAACUCCUGUUAUGUAGUAAAGAUGUGACAUUCGAUCCUGUGCCAUGAAUCAUCAUAUGUGUGAGA